CAACUACUCCCUCCGUCCCAAAAUUCUUGUCUUAUAUUUGUCUAAAUACGGAUGUAUCAAGUCACGUUUCAGUAUUAGAUACAUCUGUAUCUAAACUAAUCUAAGACAAGAAUUUUGAGACGGAGGGAAUACAAA
rnacentral:pre_miRNA from 1 species